UAUUGGAGUUCGAUUAAGCCAUGCGAGUCCAGAGCUUUCGGAGCUCGGCGUACCGCUCAGUAACACGUGGGUAACCUAACCUAUGCAGGGGAAUAACCUCGGGAAACUGAGAAUAAUGCCCCAUAGUCCACUACGCCUGGAACGGUGAGUGGAUGAAAGCUCAGGCGGCAUAGGAUGGGCCUGCGGCGUAUCAGGUUGUAGGGGGUGUAAAGUACCCUCUAGCCCUCUACGCGUACGGGUGUUGGGAGACAUAGCCCGGAGAUGGAUUCUGAGACACGAAUCCAGACCCUACGGGGUGCAGCAGGCGCGAAAACUUGGCAAUGCGAGCAAUCGUGACCAGGGAACUCCAAGUGGCUGGGGUAAGACCCAGUCUUUUCAGAACUCUUCAAAGGUUUUAGAAUAAGGGGUGGGUAA
rnacentral:rRNA from 1 species